GAUGAACGCUGGCGGCGUGCCUAAUACAUGCAAGUCGAGCGAACAGACGAGGAGCUUGCUCCUCUGACGUUAGCGGCGGACGGGUGAGUAACACGUGGAUAACCUACCUAUAAGACUGGGAUAACUUCGGGAAACCGGAGCUAAUACCGGAUAAUAUAUUGAACCGCAUGGUUCAAUAGUGAAAGGCGGUUUUGCUGUCACUUAUAGAUGGAUCCGCGCCGCAUUAGCUAGUUGGUAAGGUAACGGCUUACCAAGGCGACGAUGCGUAGCCGACCUGAGAGGGUGAUCGGCCACACUGGAACUGAGACACGGUCCAGACUCCUACGGGAGGCAGCAGUAGGGAAUCUUCCGCAAUGGGCGAAAGCCUGACGGAGCAACGCCGCGUGAGUGAUGAAGGUCUUCGGAUCGUAAAACUCUGUUAUUAGGGAAGAACAAAUGUGUAAGUAACUAUGCACGUCUUGACGGUACCUAAUCAGAAAGCCACGGCUAACUACGUG
rnacentral:rRNA from 1 species